CUCCUUCCAUCUCCCUCUGCUCUCCUCUCCAAGAUGACAGGAAUCUCAUCACAGCAUCCCCUGGACUUGAGACGGUGGAACCAAUGGCAGUCUGCAGCACAGGUACAAACACAGCCCACCAAGGUGACACAAACAAGAUGUGUUCCUACUGGUUCUUCUUCCAAAAGGAUUUCAGCCGAGCACAAUAAUUCAUAUAUGCAAAAAUGUCUUCAGACCUACUGACUGCCUGCUCCUCUCAUGUUAAGGGACUAGUUCAAUCCUCCCAUUCCUCUCCUGACUCUGUUGCUGAUUAGCAUUAUAGCAGCUGAUUUAAAGAUGUUGAUUGUGCCCUGUUUAGGGUUCAGGGAACCAAGAUCCUUGUAGUCAUUUGAUCUAACUUCAGGAUUUAUUGAAUAAUACACAAUUAUGUAAGCGUAGUUAUACUAGGAAGGUACUAAGAAAGUACGUACAUUUCACUUAAGGUUCUAUAUUUAUCUAGUUCAGGGAAAUAUUAGUUUCUGUUCCUGAUAAGUUAGCCCUAUCUAGACAUUGCCUGACUACGGAAUGGCCCCCAGCCUUGAGGUCCUGUGAUAUUUUUCACUGAGAUAAAUGAAGGGAGCUGGAACUUCUGACAAAUGCACUAGUCUUAAGGUAAGGAGACCUUAUGCAUCUUUGAAUACAUCAACCAUGAGUAGUUCAGAUAAGGCUAAACACAGAAGUUAAUAGAAUUCCCUUGGAGUCAAGGGCUACCCUCAUGGAUAUUUGUCAUUUUCAGUUCUAAUCUAUGAUUCUCCUCCUUCUGGGUGAAGGGGCCUGCACCAGUCCAUCCCUUACAUAGAUUAGUUGCAUACUUUCUCACUCUUGUGUUUUUAGAACCAAUGGCAGUCUACAGCACAGGUACAAACACAGGCUACCUAUGGGACACAAACAAGAUGUGUUCCUAAUGGCUCUUCUUUCUAAAGGAUUUCAGCAGAGCACAAUAAUUCAGACAUGCAGAAAUGUCUUCAGGCUUACUGACCACCUGCUCUUCUAAUGUCAAGGUACUAGUUCAAUCCUCUCCUGACUCUCUGUUUCUGAUUUUACAGCAUUUUAACAGCUCAAACUUUAUAGGAAUGUUGAUACAUUCUUCUAUUGCCAUGGGGACACCUAUACGCUUCCUGCUUCUACAUUGUCUUCCAUCUCUCUAGUCUAGUAGAAGCUAAACUUCCUAAGAGAAGGAGCUAUUUAUUUUCUUUUUGCCUUUGUAUCCUCUGAACUUAGCACAGUGCUAGAGGUAUAGGAGAUACUUAAUACAUACUGGUUGGGGGGCAGCUGAGUCACUUAGUAGAUUGAGAGUCAGACUCAGAGACAGGAGGUCCUGGGUUCAAAUCUGGCCUCCAACACUUACUAACUGUGUGACCCUGGGCAAGUCACUUUAACUCCCAUUGCCUAGCCCUUACUGCUCUUCUGCCUUGGAACCAAUACACAGUAUUGAUUGUAAGAUAGGAGAUAAGGAUUUUAAAAUAAAUAAAUAAACCAACC
rnacentral:lncRNA from 1 species